rnacentral:misc_RNA from 1 species
AAAAAAGAGUUUCCGGAAUUGCUGUCAAUCAAGGAGUCUCUGGUCAAGUACGUUUUUGAACCAAAUAAGAAAGGUUGAAAUAAAGCGGCAUUUAUGGAUCCUACGUUGUAUGGCAAGUGAGUAUUGCUAGUGUUUCAAUUCUAUUAGUUAUUCACUGUUAGGUUUUCUGAUUGUUUCUACCAAUGAUAGAAAGUGAAGUAUUAGGCAUGCUUCUGUGAUUUCUUUACCUGAG